rnacentral:rRNA from 1 species
GAUGAACGCUGGCGGCGUGCCUAAUACAUGCAAGUCGAGCGAACAGACGAGGAGCUUGCUCCUUUGACGUUAGCGGCGGACGGGUGAGUAACACGUGGGUAACCUACCUAUAAGACUGGGAUAACUUCGGGAAACCGGAGCUAAUACCGGAUAAUAUUUCGAACCGCAUGGUUCGAUAGUGAAAGAUGGCUUUGCUAUCACUUAUAGAUGGACCUGCGCCGUAUUAGCUAGUUGGUAAGGUAACGGCUUACCAAGGCAACGAUACGUAGCCGACCUGAGAGGGUGAUCGGCCACACUGGAACUGAGACACGGUCCAGACUCCUACGGGAGGCAGCAGUAGGGAAUCUUCCGCAAUGGGCGAAAGCCUGACGGAGCAACGCCGCGUGAGUGAUGAAGGUCUUCGGGUCGUAAAACUCUGUUAUUAGGGAAGAACAAACGUGUAAGUAACUGUGCACGUCUUGACGGUACCUAAUCAGAAAGCCACGGCUAACUACGUG